AACACACAAAGCGCACUUCAAAUGUGCACUACACAAUUUAACUAGUUUAUUUGAUCAUUGGAAGUCAGACUACCCAGUCCGCGAGUAAAAACGAAGAAAAGUUCUACCAGUUGGAAUAUUUUCAUUAUAGCAAGAUUAAUUGUCUUUCGUGAGGUGCUAACAUCGAAAUUUAAAAAAAUUCAAUUCAGUUCGUUCAGAAAAGUUCGUUUUGUUAGCAGAGAAAAAGGAGUUCAGCUGCUUCAGCGCAUUUAACUAUUCGAAUUAGUCCGAUUUCGCUUGGAUUGUUUUUAUUGGAAAUUUUGCAAAAUGGUCGCUUCAUUAAAUGCUUGCCAAAACGGCAUAGUAAGUUCCGCAGUCGGAGGCGCCGCUAAUGGAGUAAUCACCAAUGGCACAGUCAAUGCAACUAACGUAAGCAAGACUUUGGCCAAGGGCAAAUACACUUUGGUGGGCAUCGAUAUAGACACAACGGGACGUCGUCUCAUCGAUGAAAUCGUCCAGUUGGCCGCAUAUACGCCAAAAGAUCAUUUUGAACAAUAUAUUAUGCCAUACAUGAACUUGAAUCCUGCCGCUCGUCAGCGUCACCAAGUGCGUGUGAUCUCAAUCGGAUUCUAUCGUAUGCUGAAAUCAAUGCAAACAUAUAAGAUUAUCAAGUCUAAAUCGGAAAUCGCUGCCUUGAAAGAUUUUCUUGAUUGGCUGGAAGCGCUUAAAGCCAAAGAUGCAGCAUCGCAAGGUAUCAUUCUAGUCUAUCAUGAGGAACGCAAAUUCAUUCCAUAUAUGAUUUUGGAAUCGCUUAAAAAGUACAACUUGCUGGAUAGGUUCCUUAACACUGUCAAAUCUUUCGCUAAUGGUUUUAAUUUGGCCAAAACCAAUGCCAAUGAGUCGUUGCAACACUAUACAUUGCGUAAGCUUUCCAAAGUCUUGAGCGCAAAAACACACGAGAUAAACAAUAAUGCUUCGGAUGGCGAAGCAAAUAACAAUGUUAGCUCAACGACUGAAACAGGCGAGAAUCAGAGCCCUCAAAAGCCACUAAACAAGGGUGCUCCAGUACACGAGCGUGAGUUGUUUGACGGCAAUGCUAGUGUGCGUGCUAAGCUUGCGUAUGAAGUAGCACUGCAGUUGAGCAACCAAGAACAAAAAGUGCCCAUUGAAUCGUCUGCUGCAUUGGAGAAGUUGCUCAGCGCAUUGCAAUCGUACGCGCAACCCAUCGAAUGCGAUUUGAAUGAACUACAGACUCAAAAUGAGAAUUUGGAGCGUCAAAAUUCAUUCCGUCCGGUGUUUUUGAACUAUUUCAAAACAACACUCUACCAUCGCGUGCGUGCUGUCAAAUUUCGCAUUAUACUUGCCGAACAGGGUUACGACCUGCAAACGCUGAAUGCAAUUUGGGGUGAGAAACAGAAAGAGGGUCUCUCCGAAAUCAUGCAAGUCAUUGAGGAGCUCAAGGCUGAAGAUAAGGCGGAGUUGGCCGAUUUAUUUGACAGUUACUUCGAUCCAGCAAAAACGACUAUUAAGCCGAUUGUUAAGAACAAUAAUCGUCGCCGAAAUAGACGCGGAGUACGCAACAUAAAAAACGACGGCAGCAAUAGUGCUCGUCCGUGUAGCGAACAAGGCGCAGGCGGUGACAAACAAGUUGCAGCCGGCUUGCUGCCCGAUUCCACAACAAAAUCUCCAUCUCCGCCAAACGGUGGCAAGCCUCAGCGCGGUAAGCGUAACCCACGCUCCCGCAAUAACUCCUUAAAAGCACAGCUACAAAGCGCCGUCGACACAAACAACAUAACGGCAACAGUCACCAAUUAAACAUCAAUGUUGAGAGAAAUGAAUUCUAGACAGACGCUGUUGCAACAAAAAAAAAGUAAUAAUUCUAACAAUAUAUUUAACCAACUUUCAGCUCAAAUUUAAUACUAAAGAUAGCUUCACUUGCAACAAAAGUUUGGUUGGUGUAUUGCAGUUGUGUUAAAUAGAAAAACAUAUCAACUCACUAAAAAUAAACGAGGAGGUACGAGGAAGUUAAUAGAAAGAGAUAAUAAAUCAAGGAAAUGAAACGCUUUCGCCGGUUCCGUAAACUCCUUGCUCAAAAUUUCUGUGAAUCAAAAAUUUUAAAUGUGUGUUUAGGAUAAUUAACAAGUUUUUUAGAAGAAAUCAAAUGAAAGAGACUCGACAUUUGAAAUGCAACAACAUCUUAUAUACACUGAGUUUGUGAGAUUUAUGCCUUCAAUGCCAGUGAACAGUAUUGAUUUGCCGCAACAAUACAAGUAAAAAUUAUUGAAUUAAACAUUAGACUUAUAUAAAUACAAAUAUCUGUGAUCGCCCCAAGCAAACGUGAUCAAAUCGAUGUAAGAUCAGAGCGAAACUAUUUAAUUUCGCUUUGAAAUAACCAAAAAUACCGUCCAAUCAAAUAGGGAUUUGCAGCAAACAACUGCCUGCUCAACAUCAUUAAGCCACCAGCUGUGGAGAUGGGAGUAAUUUUUCGUUUUUAGUUUAAUACAAACCUCAUUUAGUUGAAAGACGGGAGGAAGAAAAUACUUUUGAUUUAUUGUUAAACACACAGCAUUUCUUAUUAAGUACAAUAACGAGUUGUUGCUACAUAAGAACUACUUAAACAUUGUACAACAAACAAGGAAUCUCAAAGCUGAUCUUUACCUAGGCUGCUCAAGCAAUAUAGCGGCGUUAUAUUGACACUCGCUAGAUUCCACUUUCAUCUUAAUUUAAAAGAGCUUCAUACAAGAAAAAUUAAAAAAAAAUAACAAAACAAAAACAACUAAACUGUUUACCUCAACUUAAAAAAAAUAAGUAAUUGCUAAAAUUGAAAAUGAUGAAAUAAACAAACUUAUAUACUAUGUAGAUCAAAUCCCUCACGCAAGCGCCAAUAACAACAUAUUUCUACAUAAUAGGCAUAGCAGAUUUGCAUGUGCCCCUUUUGUUCCUGUAUUCGUAUUGAAAUGCAUAUAAAACGCAAAUGUAAUUCUUUUUGCACAUACUGAAAUGUUUUGCAAUUUCCCACAGAAUUUUCUUAAUGCAUACAACAUUAAACCGCCCGAGUUCUAUUUACAAAACUAAAUAAUCGUAAAUCUUUUUGUAUUGUUUCUGUUUAAAAAAGAAAAUUUGAUGAAACUUUGUUGUGACUUCUUGUACUUUAUUUGAAAUAAAAAUUCAAAAAUCAGUUUUAAUCAAA